rnacentral:tRNA from 1 species
AUUUAAAUAGUUUAAAUAUAAAAUAUUAGUUUGUGGGACUAAAGAUAUAAAUUUUAUUUUAAAUU